UCCCAUAUUCCCUAAUCAGCGGGCAGAAAUAACCUCCAGUGCAAAGUGUGACGCGCAACAAGAAAACCGGUUUUCUUCCACCUGGGCACCUUCUUUCCAGAAACCACAGGGCCGAGCGCCCCCUGCAGGCGGAGACCGAAAGGAAAUGGCUUCCUCAGCCAUAGCAACGGUUUGUGUACAGCGCGGCCGCCGAGGGGCGGGGGAGGCUGGUCAGGGACAGGCCGGGAACCCUCAGCUCUACAGCCAACCCAAAGGUCAACGGGCCCUUGAGGACACUGAGAUUGCUCCCCAUUCCCCAGCUCUGGUCGCCGCCGGCGGACCCCAGGAACCCCCGUCCCAACAUCGGCCACCGUCAGCUACAGGAAACUAAAGCCCGUUUGUUCAUCCCAUAACUCGCUCCCUCAGUCGAGUCCGACCGUACAUUUGCUUCUUGGGGUCCGCCUUUCACCCCAGCUCCCUGAGGGAACUGCGAUGGGGAGAUGUAAUUUACUCCUGACCGGCGGGUACUCACCUGGCUCUCAGACCCAGCGUUGUGGAAGGACGAGACCGCUACACAAUUCACCGCAGGUGUUCAACAUUUUCUGAGCGCUGGUUACGAAUCAGACACUGUACUGGGCACCAGGAUACAAGAGCAAAUAAGGCACAAUACAAUCCAAAUGAAUAAAACAAUAAAUAUCAUUUGUGGGGAAAUAUAUUUCACUUCAUAAUUUCAGAUUAGUGCCUGGCACAUAACAGGAAUUCAUUAAUGCAAUUCGCCCUCCUCUCUGCACUUAAAUUAAAUCUACAGUCCUUUAGCAGGCACCAAUAGUGGUAAAAACUCUGCUAAAAACAUGAUUAACAAUACAUUUAUUAUUUCCAUUGCCAGUGCUAGAGAAUGUUAAAUUUGAAUAUUUAUAGACAGAUUCAAACUUUAGCAUAAUCCUUAGUAAGCUUUAUUAAAUUGUCAUGGGGAACAUCAUCACAUGCCCCAUUCCAUGCAUAAUCAUUUCACACCUCAUUCCAGCCAACAAACUUCACUCAAAACUAUGUCCUAGGUUUAAAACACUGGCUAUUCUAACUUCUAGCAUGGGAGAAAUCCUUUAAAUAUUCGGUGAAAUGGUUGUAAUUCCACAUGCCCUGUAAUUUUCUUUUCACUGUUUUCUUCUGGUUAUAAUUAUGUAUAUACAUUUAUGCUGAAUAAACAAGUAGGAUAAAAAGUAACAUGACUGGAAUAGACUAUGUAGGCAAAAGAAAAUUAUCACUAUCAUCUUCAUGGAGUUAAGACUUUGCAUCCAAGAAACAAGGAUGGAUAUAUACUUUAAUUUUUCUUUGAAUGUAUAUAUAUUCAAAUAUAUUUUUGAAGAAAAACUAAUAAACUUGUAGAAAUUAAAAUUAUACCAGAAAUGAAAAUCCCAAUAAAUGGAUUAGAAACUAAAAUUGAGGGGUGCCUGGCUGGCUGUUAGUGGAGCGUGUGACUCUUGAUUUUGGGGUCAUGAAUUGAGGCCCCAUGUUGUGUGUUGAGCUUACUUUAAAAAAAAAAAAAGAAAGAAAGAAAAAUUGAAGGCAAAUUUAAA